rnacentral:rRNA from 1 species
GAUCAUGGCUCAGGACGAACGCUGGCGGCGUGCUUAACACAUGCAAGUCGAACGAAAAUACCAAGCUUGCUUGGUUGAUUAGUGGCGAACGGGUGAGUAACACGUGAGUAACCUGCCCCUUACUUUCCUGGAUAACUGCUCGAAAGGGUAGCUAAUACGGGAUAUUCUGACCGGCCUGCAUGGGUUGGUUUGGAAAGGUUGUUUUUCUGGUAAGGGAUGGGCUCGCGGCCUAUCAGCUUGUUGGUGGGGUGAUGG